CCUACGGGAGGCAGCAGUGGGGAAUAUUGCACAAUGGGCGAAAGCCUGAUGCAGCAACGCCGCGUGAAGGAAGAAGGGUUUCGGCUCGUAAACUUCUUUUCUCAGGGACGAAGCAAGUGACGGUACCUGAGGAAUAAGCCACGGCUAACUACGUGCCAGCAGCCGCGGUAAUACGUAGGUGGCAAUCGUUAUCCGGAUUUACUGGGUGUAAAGGGCGUGUAGGCGGGACUGCAAGUCAGAUGUGAAAUUCACGGGCUCAACCUGUGGCCUGCAUUUGAAACUGUAGUUCUUGAGUACUGGAGAGGCAGACGGAAGUCCUAGUGUAGCGGUGAGAUGCGUAGAUAUUAGGAGGAACACCAGUGGCGAAGGCGGUCUGCUGGACAGAAACUGACGCUGAGGCGCGAAAGCGUGGGGAGCAAACAGGAUUAGAUACCCCUGUAGUC
rnacentral:rRNA from 1 species